rnacentral:rRNA from 1 species
CCUACGGGGAGCAGCAGUGAGGAAUAUUGGUCAAUGGGCUUACGCCUGAACCAGCCAAGUCGCGUGAGGGAAGACUGCCCUAUGGGUUGUAAACCUCUUUUGUCAGGGAGCAACGCCGGCUACGUGUAGCCGGACUGAGAGUACCUGAAGAAAAAGCAUCGGCUAACUCCGUGCCAGCAGCCGCGGUAAUACGGAGGAUGCGAGCGUUAUCCGGAUUGAUUGGGUUUAAAGGGUGCGUAGGCGGAAUGCCAAGUCAGCGGUAAAAUCGCGGGGCUCAACCUCGCUCCGCCGUUGAAACUGGCGUUCUUGAGUGGGCGAGAAGUAUGCGGAAUGCGUGGUGUAGCGGUGAAAUGCAUAGAUAUCACGCAGAACUCCGAUUGCGAAGGCAGCAUACCGGCGCCCAACUGACGCUGAAGCACGAAAGCGUGGGUAUCGAACAGGAUUAGAUACCCGAGUAGUC